UACGUAGGGCGCAAGCGUUGUCCGGAAUUAUUGGGCGUAAAGAGCUCGUAGGCGGCCUGUUGCGUCCGCUGUGAAAUCCCGGGGCUCAACCCCGGGCCUGCAGUGGAUACGGGCUGGCUAGAGGCAGGCAGGGGAGAACGGAAUUCCUGGUGUAGCGGUGAAAUGCGCAGAUAUCAGGAGGAACACCAGUGGCGAAGGCGGUUCUCUGGGCCUUACCUGACGCUGAGGAGCGAAAGCGUGGGGAGCGAACAGG
rnacentral:rRNA from 1 species